rnacentral:tRNA from 1 species
UCAUUGGUGGUUCAGUGGUAUACUUCUCGCCUUCCAUGCAGGAGACCCGGGUUUGAUUCCCAGCCAAUGUA